rnacentral:rRNA from 1 species
UACAGAGGGUGCGAGCGUUGUUCGGAAUUAUUGGGCGUAAAGGGCGCGUAGGCGGUGCGGUAAGUCACCUGUGAAAUCUCCUGGCUCAACUGGGAGCUUGCAGGCGAAACUGCCGUGCUGGAGUGUGGGAGAGGUGAGUGGAAUUCCCGGUGUAGUAGUGAAAUGCGUAGAUAUCGGGAGGAACACCAGUGGCGAAGGCGGCUUUCUGGCUCGCAACUGACGCUGUAGCGCGAAGGCGUGGGGAGCGAACGGG